rnacentral:rRNA from 1 species
GACGAACGCUGGCGGCGUGCUUAACACAUGCAAGUCGAACGAUGAAGCUAGAGCUUGCUCUGGUGAAUUAGUGGCGAACGGGUGAGUAACACGUGAGUAACCUGCCCCGAACUCUGGGAUAACUGCUGGAGACGGUAGCUAAUACUGGAUACGACCUACGAAGGCAUCUUCUGUAGGUGGAAAGAAUUUCGGUUCGGGAUGGACUCGCGGCCUAUCAGCUUGUUGGUGAGGUAAUGGCUCACCAAGGCGACGACGGGUAGCCGGCCUGAGAGGGUGACCGGCCACACUGGGACUGAGACACGGCCCAGACUCCUACGGGAGGCAGCAGUGGGGAAUAUUGCACAAUGGGCGCAAGCCUGAUGCAGCAACGCCGCGUGAGGGAUGACGGCCUUCGGGUUGUAAACCUCUUUUAGUAGGGAAGAAGCGAAAGUGACGGUACCUGCAGAAAAAGCACCGGCUAACUACGUGCCAGCAGCCGCGGUAA